rnacentral:rRNA from 1 species
CCUAUUAGUUAGUUGGUGAGGUAACGGCUCACCAAGGCGAUGACGGGUAGCCGGUCUGAGAGGAUGUCCGGCCACACUGGAACUGAGACACGGUCCAGACACCUACGGGUGGCAGCAGUCGAGAAUCAUUCACAAUGGGGGCAACCCUGAUGGUGCGACGCCGCGUGGGGGAAUGAAGGUCUUCGGAUUGUAAACCCCUGUCAUGUGGGAGCAAAUUAAAAAGAUAGUACCACAAGAGGAAGAGACGGCUAACUCUGUGCCAGCAGCCGCGGUAAUACAGAGGUCUCAAGCGUUGUUCGGAAUCACUGGGCGUAAAGCGUGCGUAGGCUGUUUCGUAAGUCGUGUGUGAAAGGCAGGGGCUCAACCCCUGGAUUGCACAUGAUACUGCGAGACUAGAGUAAUGGAGGGGGAACCGGAAUUCUCGGUGUAGCAGUGAAAUGCGUAGAUAUCGAGAGGAACACUCGUGGCGAAGGCGGGUUCCUGGACAUUAACUGACGCUGAGGCACGAAGGCCAGGGGAGCGAAAGGGAUUAGAUACCCCUGUAGUCCUGGCAGUAAACGGUGCACGCUUGGUGUGCGGGGAAUCGACCCCCUGCGUGCCGGAGCUAACGCGUUAAGCGUGCCGCCUGGGGAGUACGGUCGCAAGAUUAAAACUCAAAGAAAUUGACGGGGACCCGCACAAGCGGUGGAGUAUGUGGCUUAAUUCGAUGCAACGCGAAGAACCUUACCUGGGCUUGACAUGUAAUGAACAACAUGUGAAAGCAUGCGACUCUUCGGAGGCGUUACACAGGUGCUGCAUGGCCGUCGUCAGCUCGUGUCGUGAGAUGUUUGGUUAAGUCCAGCAACGAGCGCAACCCCUGUUGCCAGUUACCAUCGAGUAAUGUCGGGGACUCUGGCGAGACUGCCCAGAUCAACUGGGAGGAAGGUGGGGACGACGUCAGGUCAGUAUGGCCCUUAUGCCCAGGGCUGCACACGUACUACAAUGCCCAGUACAGAGGGGGCCGAAGCCGCGAGGCGGAGGAAAUCCUGAAAACUGGGCCCAGUUCGGACUGUAGGCUGCAACCCGCCUACGCGAAGCCGGAAUCGCUAGUAAUGGCGCAUCAGCUACGGCGCCGUGAAUACGUUCCCGGGUCUUGUACACACCGCCCGUCACAUCAUGGAAGCCGGUCGCACCCGCAGUAUCUGAAGCC